GUUAAAGUAGUUAAACAAACUAUAUAACAUUACCUUUUCAAGGUGAAAUAGAAUUUUAAAUGAUUCCUUUAAUU
rnacentral:tRNA from 1 species